AGCAGCCGCGGUAAUUCCAGCUCCAAUAGCGUAUAUUAAAGUUGUUGCAGUUAAAAAGCUCGUAGUUGAAUUUCGGGAUCAAUACGUCGGUCGUGCUUCGGUACGUACUGGCGUCAUUGAUUUCUCCCUUCUGAAGAACCAUGAUGUCAUUAACUUGGUGUCAUGGGAAAUCAGGACUGUUACUUUGAAAAAAUUAGAGUGUUUAAAGCAGGCUCACGCUUGAAUACAUUAGCAUGGAAUAAUGAAAUAGGACGUUCGAUCCUAUUUUGUUGGUUUCUAGGAUUGACGUAAUGAUUAAUAGGGAUAGUUGGGGGCAUUAGUAUUCAAUUGUCAGAGGUGAAAUUCUUGGAUUUAUUGAAGACUAACUACUGCGAAAGCAUCUGCCAAGGAUGUUUUCAUUGAUCAAGAACGAAAGUUAGGGGAUCGAAGACGAUCAGAUACCGUCGUAGUCUUAACCAUAAACUAUGCCGACUAGGGAUCGGAUGAUGUUAUUUUUAAUGUACU
rnacentral:rRNA from 1 species